CAAAAUGUAAGGACCCGAAAAUAAAUUAAUGACAAUAAAAAAACCACGUGUCAGCUUGAAAGAAUCUCCAUUUCCCCAGACCUCUGUGUGCUUCACGGCGACUCGAGCUUCUUCUCUAGCGGGCCAAGGUCGGUAGAUCGAUUAGACUUCAAGAUUUCCGGCGGAUUCCGUAUACUGCUGGUUUCCACGACUCUAUGGAGGAAGUUUGUCUUAACAGCCAGCCUGUCUUUGAUUAUUGUGACAUGUAUAUGGUGAUUGUUCCUUUGUGAACGAAGAUGAAUCUAUGGAAGCACAGUCAAAGAAGAAUCUUCCACGGCCAACUGUGGGUUCGGAAUAUGAUUCUUUUGAUGAGGCAUACGACUUUUAUAAUGCUUAUGCUAAGGCACUGGGCUUUGGUAGCAGAGUCAGCAAUUCAUGGUUUCGAUCUAAGAGAAAAGAGCGACAUAGAGCUACACUUAUCAUUUGCAGGAAUGAUCUCUAUCCAUGCAUAUGAGAGGAAAUAUUAUAAAGAAGCAGUAGCAGAUCUAGAGUCGAGAAAUUUAAGCGUCGAGUUGAAAAGGAGAUGUAAGUUUUGAAAUGCAGCUCUCCAAGGUAGCAAGUUUCAAUCUGAGGUGGAAGGAAUGUACUCUUGUGAGAUCUGACAUCGGUUGGAGAGGGGAACGAAGCAUUCCUUAUAAGGGUGUGGAAACCUCUCCCUAGCAGACGCAUUUUAAAAUCUUGAGACUGACGGGGCGAUACGUAACGGGCCAAGGCAGACAAUAUUUACUAACAGUGAGCUUGGGUUAGUACAACUCUUAAUUCAACACGAGGCAGGUGAAAGAAAGGAUUGUAGUUGAGGGAAACGGGCCUUAUGCAUUUCGACACAAACCAUGGGGAGCGAACGAAAAGCAGGUUCGUAGUCUGUAUCCCGAGAAGGGAGGUAAUCCAAUCAGAACUUUGUCUCCAUGUUACCAAGUAAACAUGAAAGAAUAAGGCUACCUAUGGAUGAUAGCUUUAUAUGCACAAUUCCGUGGAAGUUUAAGCAACUCCUUACCUUACUUGUGAGCUCAUAUUGGAUCUAUUAUGGUCAUCCCAUUGAAGUUGAGACCAUAAAUCCUUGCAGUUGUUUCCACUAAAAUUCUCAACGCCCUCAAUAGUAGUCUUUGCUCUAGCUUUUAAUUGAAGACUUGCUACCCAUAUAGUAUAUGGGCCCUCUUAUAUUCAUUAUGGUUACGUUGGAUAUGUGGACUUUAUAGUAGAUAAUGCAUGCAUAUAAUUAUUUGGUUUAUAAAUAGUGACACAGUUGUACGUAA